UCAAAUGCGAUGAAGAGAAAAGUAAAUAAAUUGAUUUUUUCACAGAGAGCUCCGGUAGCUGAAAGGGAGUAAAAAAUGAUUUAUUGAAGAAAGCCUCUGAGCUGCACAUCGGAACCGGACAAAAGGGAUGGUGUGACAGGAGCUCCUGUUAUAGAGCUAGAGUAUAAGCAUUCUAUGUAAUGCCGUACUUGAAGAGGCUGCUACGGCGACGUAUCAGCAAAUCUGGGGUGGUACCACGACGAAUUUAACAAAUCUCGUCCCCAAG
rnacentral:ncRNA from 1 species